ensembl:lncRNA
ACCAGGACUAAACCAGGACUAAACCAGGACUAAACCAGGACUAAACCAGGUCUAAACCAGGUCUAAACCAGGACUAAACCAGGUCUAAACCAGGACUAAACCAGGACUAAACCAGGUCUAAACCAGGUCUAAACCAGGACUAAACCAGGACUAAACCAGGACUAAACCAGGUCUAAACCAGGACUAAACCAGGACUAAACCAGGACUAAACCAGGUCUAAACCAGGACUAAACCAGGACUAAACCAGGUCUAAACCAGGACUAAACCAGGUCUAAACCAGGACUAAACCAGGACUAAACCAGGUCUAAACCAGGUCUAAACCAGGACUAAACCAGGACUAAACCAGGACUAAACCAGGACUAAACCAGGUCUAAACCAGGUCUAAACCAGG